CCUACGGGAGGCAGCAGUGGGGAAUCUUGCGCAAUGGGCGAAAGCCUGACGCAGCCAUGCCGCGUGAAUGAUGAAGGUCUUAGGAUUGUAAAAUUCUUUCACCGAGGACGAUAAUGACGGUACUCGGAGAAGAAGCCCCGGCUAACUUCGUGCCAGCAGCCGCGGUAAUACGAAGGGGGCUAGCGUUGCUCGGAAUUACUGGGCGUAAAGGGAGCGUAGGCGGAUAGUUUAGUCAGAGGUGAAAGCCCAGGGCUCAACCUUGGAAUUGCCUUUGAUACUGGCUAUCUUGAGUACGGAAGAGGUAUGUGGAACUCCGAGUGUAGAGGUGAAAUUCGUAGAUAUUCGGAAGAACACCAGUGGCGAAGGCGACGGAUACUGGUCCGUUACUGACGCUGAGGCUCGAAAGCGUGGGGAGCAAACAGGAUUAGAUACCCUGGUAGUCCACGCUGUAAACGAUGAGUGCUAGUUGUCGGCAUGCAUGCAUGUCGGUGACGCAGCUACGACAUUAAGACACCUCCGCCGUCGGGGUAGGGUACGGGUCGGCGAAGAAGUUAAAACGUAACAAAUAGUAAGUUAGUACGGCGUGAGACGUGACCGAACGGACGACCGACGAGGGAGGUUAGGG
rnacentral:rRNA from 1 species